rnacentral:rRNA from 1 species
UACGAAGGGUGCAAGCGUUACUCGGAAUUACUGGGCGUAAAGCGUGCGUAGGUGGUGAGUUAAGUCUGUCGUGAAAGCCCCGGGCUCAACCUGGGAAUGGCGAUGGAUACUGGCUCGCUAGAGUGCGGUAGAGGAGAGUGGAAUUCCCGGUGUAGCAGUGAAAUGCGUAGAGAUCGGGAGGAACAUCAGUUGCGAAGGGCGGCUCUCUGGACCAGCACUGACACUGAGGCACGAAAGCGUGGGGAGCAAACAGG